AUGGCUGCUACAAUGAUCAGACCUCACCAGGUUAUGAUUGCUUUUCUCAUCCUGACAGUUAACUGGACAGGCACUGAUGGUCAAACACUGACAGAGUCUGAACCAGUGGUUAAAAGACCUGGAGAAUCCCAGAGGCUGACCUGCACAUAUUCUGGGUUCAGUAGCCACUACUGGAAUGCUUGGAUCAGACAGGCAGCUGGAAAAGGACUGGAGUGGGUCGCUACUAUCAGUGAUACCAGCAGAAGCAUCUACUACUCUGACUCAGUCAGAAACCGUUUCACCAUCUCCAGAGAGAACAGCAGAAAUGAGGUUUAUCUGCAGAUGAACAGUCUGACAGCUGGAGAUUCUGCUGUUUAUUACUGUGCUCGAGAGACACAGUGA